GGCUGGUGGUAAUUAAUAUGUCAAGGGCCUGCAAACUAAUGUCGACUGAUUUCCCUCAGGUGGUGAAGAACAUGUUCAGGACGUGAACUUGCAGCCACAGGAGGAAACAGGGCAUAGCUGUGACGUCUUCCAUGUUCAAUGUGAACUCCAUACUGUGGCUGGUUUCAUCACUGCCGCUACAUGUACAAAUAUGGAAGCUCGUGAAUUGGAAAAUCCCCCGUUUUCGGCAAACGACGCUACGAUACCGAACACCGAGUCUUCCAACAUAUCAGAUAUUUAUGGUGGUGAAAGCGGCACCGUCCCCACAGCAACAAGCAAGAAUGAGGACAAGGUCCGUAUGCAUGCAUGCCGC